AGACGAACCGUGCGAACGUUAUUCGGAAUCACUGGGCUUAAAGCGCGUGUAGGCGGGACGGCACGUCGGUCGCUGAAAUCCCCCGGCUUAACCGGGGAACGGGCGCCGAUACGACCGCCCUCGAGGAACGUAGGGGGAGCUGGAACUUCCGGGGGAGCGGUGAAAUGCGUUGAGAUCGGAAGGAACGCCCGUGGCGAAAGCGAGCUCCUGGACGUUAUCUGACGCUGAGACGCGAAAGCCAGGGGAGCGAACGGGAUUAGAUACCCCGGUAGUCCUGGCCGUAAACGAUGGGCACUGGGUAGGGGGCUCGCCGAUGGGCUCCCUGCCGUAGGGAAACCGUGAAGUGCCCCGCCUGGGGAGUAUGGUCGCAAGGCUGAA
rnacentral:rRNA from 1 species